GUAAGACUGGAGGCUUGUUUCCAGCAUUCUGAUAUUGUAAGGUUUGUUAAGUUGCUCAGAUACAGGCAGAAAAUGCUUGAAGUGGACUGACAUAGACUGGUGGGCUGUCAUGAUGUUUCUUGGAGCUUCAGCCCAUCAGAGCAGUGACUGAGGAACCAACACCCACCCAAGGUACAACUCAUGUUCCUGCAGGCUGGAGCUCUGCUGCCUGU